rnacentral:lncRNA from 1 species
GUUGCACUGAUAAUAAUUAUAAUCGUUUAAUAUCAAUUUAAUCGGAUAUCAAUAUAAGUCAAUGAUUUUUUAUAUUUUAUUUAUUUUUUGUUUGUUUGUUUUUUGUACUUUUUGUUUUGUUUUUUGUUUUUUGUUUUUUGUUUUGUUUUUUGUUUUUGUUUUUGUUUUUGUUUUUUUCGUUUUUUUUUUCUUUUUUUUUGUUUUUUUUUUUUGUAUGGGGAGGGGGAUGUUCAUAUAAGCACUGACACUGACAGGUCAAAAUGAAUAAACAUGUUUUGUAUUUUUCUUUGAUAAAAUGCAUAAAAAUAUUGUAUGAGGUGAAGAAAUACAAAAUAAAGAAUUAUAAAAAAAAUAUACAAAGUU